AUGUGCUCAUAUAGUUUUGGAGAUCAUGGGGAUCAUAUGAUUACUUGUAGGGGACUAAGAGCAGAGAGGAUUGCCGAUCCUUGCCUGCAUAUACAUGCACCAUGGAUGUGUGCCAUAUGGCAUGAUGCACAACAUGCCAUUGAGACCACUGGAUCGUUGCUCAGUACAUCUGGUACAUACACACGAACCUCCCUCCACUGUGGUGUCACCGCUGUUUGUUUCGUCUCUCGACUGCGACACUUUGUACCACAAGAGCACAGCAGUAGCUUCAGGAUAGGGGGCCGAUCCUGUUAUCCUUUCAUGAGUGAUAACCCACUACUUUCGCCUUUUUGA
rnacentral:rRNA from 1 species